CCUACGUGAGGCAGCAGUGGGGGAUAUUGCACAAUGGGGGAAACCCUGAUGCAGCGACGCCGCGUGUGGGAAGACGGUCUUCUGGAUUGUAAACCACUGUCCCCAGGGACGAAAAUGACGGUACCUGGGGAGGAAGCUCCGGCUAACUACGUGCCAGCAGCCGCGGUAAUACGUAGGGAGCAAGCGUUGUCCGGAAUUACUGGGUGUAAAGGGAGCGUAGGCGGGGAUGCAAGUUGGGUGUCAAAACUACCGGCUCAACCGAUAGUCGCACUCAAAACUGCAACUCUUGAGUGAAGUAGAGGCAGGCGGAAGUCCGAGUGUAGCGGUGAAAUGCGGAGAUAUUAGGAGGAACACCAGUGGCGAAGGCGGCCUGCUGGGCUUUUACUGACGCUGAGGCUCGAAAGUGUGGGGAGCAAACAGGAUUAGAUACCCGUGUAGUC
rnacentral:rRNA from 1 species